rnacentral:tRNA from 1 species
GGGGCCGUAGUCUAGACAGGUAUGACGACGGGCUCCAGACCCGUAGGUCGUCGGUUCAAAUCCGGCCGGCCCCACCA